UUCGACACCAAUAUUUGCUAACUAAUUUAAUAUUUUAACACAGAACCAGUGUGUUUCAAAAAAAAAAACACAGAACCAGUGCAAAGUUUCUUUUAGUUUGUCAAUAAUUUUUUAGCAUAUGCAAUAAUCUUCCGAUAUACAUGCUAAAAAUUCUAGAAUAUCUAUUUAACAAUCUUUUUAGCGGUUAUUACUUUUUAAAGCUGGUUACCUUAGAUUUUUGUUUGCUAACCUAAACCCCACAUCAGGGAAAACAACACGCCAACUUUUUGCUAAAUUUGCUUGAUUUACCCAAAGGUAAGCCGUUGCCGGACGAUCUAAUCGGUAUUCCACCGAAAACAUACCGGAGACAGGAAAACGCGACAGAAAGAAUCCGGCUUCGACAAUAGCUUGAUUCAGCACAGAUGAAAUAAAAAACAACGCUUCAGAACAUCAAACCCAGAACCAAUCGAAUCAAACAAAUAAAAGCAAACGAAAGUCUCAAAUCCUUGCAUGCAAAUCAAAAGCUUGAAGAUGAUUGAACCCUAACAGAGAGGGCAGGAUGAAACAAAUCGAUCUAAGAUUUUGAUCCGAUUGAAACCUUUCUAAAAGAGAAGCGAGGUUGAUUCAGAGAAACUAAAAAAAAAAAAAAAAAAAAACCAGACAAGACAUUGCCGAAGACAAACCUGAUAUACUGAGUGAAAACCUCACCAGAUUGAUCAAGCAUGGGAAAUAACGCAAUUCCCUCUCUCUGAAAAAUAAUAGAGGGAAGAAAGAGAGAGAGAUCCAUUGCUUUUCCCCUAAUUACCUUUUAUUUCAUUUAGCUUAUGACUUAUUAUCACCGGUUUUGUUGUGAUCUCUUUUUUAUAGACAUAAGGUCAGUUUUGACAUUUUCUCUAUGUUGGAUCCCCACAACUUUUGUGUCAUAGGCAUUUGCGUAAUUAGCGUAUAUGUCUUGUGUGUACGGUGCAAUUUCUCUAUAUUUUUUGUUUAUAUUUUUUUCGUUAGAAAUGAAAUAUUCAUAUUUGUGUUUUUUGUAAUCAUAUUUGUGGUUUUCUUUGUAAUCAUAUUUGUGUAUAAUAUUUUUAAAAAACAUUAGUAAGAACUUUUGAUAAUUCUAUUAAAUUUGUGAGGUUGCCAAAGUAUACACUUGUGUCAUAGUCAUUUCACACAUUAAUUUUGAUUUUUUUUCCUGAACAGUUAUAAAUUUGUUAUUUUUUUAAAAAAAUAUAAUAAAGCAUAGUUACAAAUUUGUUUAGUAAUUAAAUAGUAACAAAAUAGUAAUUAAAUAUUUGUAAAAAUAGUUUUCCAUUAAAUUUUCAUCAUUUGAUUUUAUAUAUAAUGAUUUAUAAAAUGUUAUUAUUACACAUAAUAAUUUAUGAUACAAAUAAAAAUGGGUUUAUAAUGUUUGAUCCAAUGUAAAUGAAAAGUCCACUUUAGUUGUUAAAAACCAAUUCUAGUUAAGCCAAAAAAAUUUGAAGCCCAAUUGGUAAACAAAAUAUAUGUUUGAUCUGUCUUAACUCUGUUUAUCGUAUUUGGGAAAAAAUAUAUUUCUUUCUCUCUAUAUUACAUCGAAAGAUUGUCUCAAACUCAUCGAUCUGUGAAGAUUCAUACUCGGAUCGUUCAGACGAUGAUCAAUCUUAGUGAAGCUGUUCUGGAUGGAGUUAGUUUCUGGAUCGAUGAGUUUUUGUGUCUGAAGUACAUUAGAAGGAAACCCUUUGAUCUUCUUUGUCUCCAUGGAUAAUAGAGCUGUCUGAAAACAUAACAUCUAUUUAUGUCUCUAUCAUCACCUUGCUAUUCAACUCCAAUCUUAUAUUCCAAAUAAAAGAUGAAAUCAUUUUGGUAGGGAACGAAAGUGACAAAAUUUCAGUGAAGUAUGAAGGACAUGUAUUGCCUAAUAAGAUAAGUCAUGUAUUGGUUACAAUUAAUAUCUAAAUAGUCUAUGUUGUAAUGUUGUCAUCUAACGGAACUCUCGUAUUUGUUCUUCAGGACUUUAAAAAAAACUGGAAGAUAGGAGAGCAAUCAACUUUACUGAGCCGCCCCUUCAUGGAGCCGCUGGAAAAAAUUAUAAGUUCAGAAACGACAUUGAGGAAAGGAACACGGAGUGCAUUCAGAAACAACCUUUAGCAUUGGAAUAACAUGCAUAGUGUAUACUGAAGUUGAGAAAAAAAGAUAUAACCUCAUCAAAUGAACCGUUGAGCAAGUCAGCAGCAUUUUCAGGAACAAUUCCGCUUGCAAUCCAGUCAAAUAGCAUUAGCCUGUAGGAAACACUUGGGUUAUUGAUGGAGAAAUUUUCAAUGUUUCUCCACAUUCCAAUAGAAAGCACAUUUGAAAGUUUCCUCGUCAACUUAUCAAGGUAUGGAGCACCUUAACUUGUACACGAUACUCAGUCAUGAAUGGUUUGAUGUCAGCCAAAGGAGUGAGUUCCAUGACUAAAGGCCUGUAGGAAACACUCGGGUUAUUGAUGGAGAAAUUUUCAAUGUUUCUCCACAUUCCAAUAGAAAGCACAUUUGAAAGUUUCCUCGUCAACUUAUCAAGGUAUGGAGCACCUUAACUUGUACACGAUACUCAGUCAUGAAUGGUUUGAUGUCAGCCAAAGGAGUGAGUUCCAUGACUAAAGGUAUUUCUGUAGCGAUAAAGUCCGUGACUUUUGAUUUUAGGAAGUGUGAUAAGAGUAUAGGUUGUAGGAAGGAUAUAUAUAACCGCCCUCUGGUGAUGGAAACACUAUUUAGUUAAGAUCAUGUCAAAAAUCAAAAUUAUUUUGGCAACAAUAUAGGAGUCGUGCAUAUAUCUCGGGAUAAUGGGUUCGAUUUGUUAAAAACGAAAUGGAUUUGAGAAUAGUAGUUUUGAUUCCUCGAAUGUUCUAGUUUGUUAAUUAAAUACUCAGAAAUUAAAUUAUCUAUUUGUUGCAGAAUAUAUAGGCCUUUAUAAUAGGAGCUUAAUAGGAACAGUUUUGUUUCUUAGAUGUCGUUUAAAUAAAAGUCAUAUUAGCAGUUACAUAUUGAGGAUUUGUUUCUUAGACAGUCGUGUAAAUAAAGUUGAUAUAAGCAGUUACAUAUCGUUGAUGAUUUAUUUUAAAUUAGACUCAACUAAUAUCAAUGGGGCAUGUUCCUGUUUUAAUAGUAUUGAUUUUCUAAAUAAUCUCUUCAAGAUUGUUGCUUAAUGAGUGUUUUUUUGUUCUUUUUCAAAAGAAUCAUCUUUUUGUUAAACACCAACAACCAAAAGAAUUGAGGAAUAAAGAGUCGAUUACAAAUCAAAUUACACAAAAUCAACCAAUUUAAAUUAUUUUCUAAAACUAUCUUCGCUCAAUCCAUCACUUUGUUCCAGUAGUUUGGAUCUAAUAUCCGAUUGCCGUUCUACACUUUCGACGAUGAUCACAAGAAAGUGAGAUUGACCUCGUUGACUCAUAUGCAGGAACUUCCCGUGUUGUCUCCUAGAGUUAGCUAAGCUUGUAGCCAUUACUAACAUUGAAACACAGACGAAAUAAAAAAGAGACAUGGAAAGACGUAAACCCGAAGAUUGUGAAAACAUUUGACUGUACAAUCCCGCCUUCAUCGCCUAACCCGCACUAAUGGAAGUCGGAUGAUAACCUCCAGCAAUUAUGGAAUGAAAAAAAUUUGGGAACGAAUUGACGGCUGCACUUAUCCCCGAAAAAGCUCUACGACCUUAAAAAUGGUGUUAGAAAGGAACAUCACCAUGAGCUAACAAACGCAGGCUUACGGCACUGAUAUAUGGUCCUCUCCGACUGAUGUCACUGUAAACAGAA